rnacentral:rRNA from 1 species
UACGGAGGGGGCUAGCGUUGUUCGGAAUUACUGGGCGUAAAGCGCACGUAGGCGGCUUUGUAAGUUAGAGGUGAAAGCCCGGGGCUCAACUCCGGAAUUGCCUUUAAGACUGCAUCGCUAGAAUUGUGGAGAGGUAAGUGGAAUUCCGAGUGUAGAGGUGAAAUUCGUAGAUAUUCGGAAGAAACACCAGUGGCGAAGGCGACUUACUGGACACAUAUUGACGCUGAGGUGGACGAAAGCGUGGGGAGCAAACAGG